CCAAAAAUGGCUGAGAAAAGUGAUGGACUGUAAAUCUAUUUAUGAUAUUUUAUCUUUUUGGA
rnacentral:tRNA from 1 species